AAGUGUGGGAUUUCAAGAAAUUAAGCUAAUUUGUGGAGGGGCAUUUUAGUAAUUUCUAAGGGAGUGGAUAAGCUUGGGCCAUAAAUAUCCUCUCAUUCCAGCAACUUCCUCUUCUUGUUCUCUUCCCUCUCACGUUUUUUCAAUUUUUCCAUGGAAGCUUGAUGUGAAGCUUUCAUAACUUUCUCUCUGUAGCUCUAAUUUUCAUACACUGGUGCCCUUUUGACUAUAACCCUUGUAUUCUUCCACUCUCUCACUUCAAAACCCUUGAAAAUGAUGAAAAUCUUGUUUCCAUACCCUCUCACUAGUUAGGUGUUUUAGAGAGAGAAAGAGGAAGCUUUAUUAAUAGCUUAAGAGCUUUUGGAAAGAAGUUCAAAGUUAUAAAGCUAUCAAGGUGAGUAGUAAACUAGUAUUGGGUUUUAAGUGUUGAGAAUGACUAGAGAUUUGAUUUGUGAAUAUUUUGUAGUUGAGAUUAUUAAUUCACUUUAGAGUAUUAGAAAAGUGAAAAUGGAUGGCCAUUUAAAUGGCAAUUGAAAGCUAGCUAAAAGAUAGCUUUUAGAGUUUAUAGUAUGUAAAUUGACAUUAUGGAAAUGUUAAUUUGAUGGUAGAUGCUAACAAAGCCCCAUCACCCCAAUUGGAUCAUUAGGGGAAUUAAGAGUCAGUUAAAGGCUCAACGAAUACUUGUGAGUGGACUUGCAUUUCAAACUUGUUUUGGGGAAUAUGAAAUAUUCUAUCCACUUGUCUUAGAAAAUGUACCUUGGGAACAAGCUUUUAGUAAAAUGAUUUUAUAUUGUGAAAAUGUGCUAUAUAAUGGUUUAUGUGUUAUCACAAUAUGAUAAAAUGCAUGAUAUGCAUUGGAUGCUUCUUUGCAUGUUGAUGUGGACCCGGCUAUGUGGGAGUAGGAGUGCACAUAAGCCGUUGCUGACCCGACUAUGUGCGAGUAAGAGUGCACAUAAGCCGUUGCUGACCCGAUUAUGUGUGAGUGGGAGUGCACAUAAGCCAUUGCUGACCCGGUUAUAUGCAAGUGGGAGUACGCAUAAGCCGUUGCAUAUGAGAUGAUGAUGAUGGAAGGGUGUACAUGAUGAUUGAUAUAUAUAUAUAUAUAUAUAUAUAUAUAUAUAUAUAUAUAUAUAUAUAUAUANUAUAUAUAUAUAUAUAUAUAUAUAUAUAUAUAUAUAUAUAUAUAUAUAUAUACAUAUAUGGUAUAUGGUUGUAAAUGCAGAUAUGUGAGCACUUGAUUUGUUGAAAUUUAGGAGUUUACAUGUGUUACAUGUUGCUAUUGUUAUUUUAACAAGAUGGCUUGUUUUAAAGGAAAAUGAGACUUUUUCCUUGAUAUUCUGACUCUCGCUGCAGCGAGAAACUCUUGAGUUUGAGGGCCUUCACCAGACUUGGUUCUCACUGCAGUGAGAAUGAAGUUCACUGUAGCGAGAAACUUUUUGUCCAUUUUGGCUAACUUGUGAGUUUUGCUAUAUUUUUCAAUUCUUUGGUACCAUACUUAAGUAUGGAUCUUUUAAGUGAUUUACUCAUGAGGGGUUUACAUGAAGGGUUCUAUUAAGAACUAGAACAAAUUGCAUUGUUUUGAGAAAAUAAGUGCAUCACGAUUUCGAUAAACAUUCCUUAUGGUAUGCUUGUUCCCUUCUUGUUCACUCACUGAGUUUAUGUUCACCGCUUUCAACUUCAUGUUUUUAGAUUAAGAGACAGCCGGUAACUAGGACAAGGUGUCCUCGUGGACUUGUAUCCAUCUUUUGGUAGGUGUCUCGGUAUUCAGUAGCUGUACAUUCGUCCGAGUCUCUCCGCUGGACAUCGAGUCUCCUUUUGUUGUGUAUAGACGAACCUAAUGUGAAUUAUUAAGAUACAUGUGUAGACAGUGUAUAUACACUUGUUUGGUAUGCCAGUAUGAAGUGGCAAUGCUUAAUAUUAUUUUGAUUCUAAGUUAUGAUAUAUGACUUAGCAGUUUAUGAUGGAAUGAUGAACAUGUCAGAUUAAUAGGCUUGCUUGGGCUUAGUGGACUACGUCCAUUGGGCCCAUGCGCCG
rnacentral:lncRNA from 1 species